GACCGUUCCGGUGGUCUAGUGGUUAGAGCGACCACCUCAGAUGCGGAAGGUCGUGGGUUCGAUUCCCAGUUGAGUCA